rnacentral:rRNA from 1 species
UCUAGCAGCCCGCGGUAAUACGGAGGGUGCAAGCGUUAAUCGGAAUUACUGGGCGUAAAGCGCACGCAGGCGGUCUGUCAAGUCGGAUGUGAAAUCCCCGGGCUCAACCUGGGAACUGCAUUCGAAACUGGCAGGCUGGAGUCUUGUAGAGGGGGGUAGAAUUCCAGGUGUAGCGGUGAAAUGCGUAGAGAUCUGGAGGAAUACCGGUGGCGAAGGCGGCCCCCUGGACAAAGACUGACGCUCAGGUGCGAAAGCGUGGGGAGCAAACAGGAUUAGAUACCCUGGUAGUCCACGCUGUAAACGAUGUCGACUUGGAGGUUGUUCCCUUGAGGAGUGGCUCCGGAGCUAACGCGUAAGUCGACCGCCUGGG